UACGUAGGGUGCGAGCGUUAAUCGGAAUCAUUUGGGCGUAACGGGUGCGUAGACGGCUUACUAAUUCAACUGUUUAAUUCUCCGGCCUAACUGGAGGUCAGCGGUAGAAACUGGUAUGCUUGAGGUUGGAAGAGAGAAGUGGAAUUCUCGGAGUAGCGGUAAAAUGCGUAGAUCUCGAGAGGAACACCGAUGGCGAAGGCAGCUUCUUGGUCCAAAUCUGACGUUGAGGCACGAAAGCGUGGGGAGCAAACAGG
rnacentral:rRNA from 1 species